rnacentral:rRNA from 1 species
AUUGAACGCUGGCGGCAUGCCUAACACAUGCAAGUCGAGCGGAUGAACGGAGCUUUUUCCUGUAUUCAGCUACGGACGGGUGAGUAAUUCCUAGGAGUCUACCUGAUAGUUGGGGAUAACAUCCCUAAGCGGGCGCUGAUACCGCAUACGUCCUUAUGUUGAAAGUGGGGGAUCUUCGGACCUCACGCUAUCAGCUGACACUAGGUCGGAUUAGCUAGUUGGUUGGGUAAAGGCCUACCAAGGCGACGAUCCGUAACUGGUCUGAGAGGAUGAUCAGUCACACUGGAACUGAGACACGGUCCAGACUCCUACGGGAGGCAGCAGUGGGGAAUAUUGGACAAUGGGCGAAAGCCUGAUCCAGCCACGCCGCGUGUGUGAAGAAGGUCUUCGGAUUGUAAAGUACUUUAAGUUGGGAGGAAGGGAAGUAAGUUAAUACCUUGCUGUCUUGACGUUACCAACAGAAUAAGCACCGGCUAACUUCGUG